rnacentral:rRNA from 1 species
UACGUAGGGUGCAAGCGUUAAUCGGAAUUACUGGGCGUAAAGCGUGCGCAGGCGGUGAUGUAAGACAGAUGUGAAAUCCCCGGGCUUAACCUGGGACCUGCAUUUGUGACUGCAUUGCUGGAGUGCGGCAGAGGGGGAUGGAAUUCCGCGUGUAAGCAGUGAAAUGCGUAGAUAUGCGGGAGGAACACCGAUGGCGGAAGGCAGUCCCCUGGGCCUGCACUGACGCUCGAUGCACGAAAGCGUGGGAGCAAACAGG